UUCCUACGGGGGGCAGCAGUGGGGAAUAUUGGACAAUGGGCGAAAGCCUGAUCCAGCAAUGCCGCGUGAGUGAUGAAGGCCCUAGGGUUGUAAAGCUCUUUUACCCGGGAUGAUAAUGACAGUACCGGGAGAAUAAGCUCCGGCUAACUCCGUGCCAGCAGCCGCGGUAAUACGGAGGGAGCUAGCGUUGUUCGGAAUUACUGGGCGUAAAGCGCACGUAGGCGGCUUUGUAAGUUAGGGGUGAAAGCCCGGAGCUCAACUCCGGAAUUGCCUUUAAGACUGCAUCGCUUGAAUCCAGGAGAGGUGAGUGGAAUUCCGAGUGUAGAGGUGAAAUUCGUAGAUAUUCGGAAGAACACCAGUGGCGAAGGCGGCUCACUGGACUGGUAUUGACGCUGAGGUGCGAAAGCGUGGGGAGCAAACAGGAUUAGAUACCCUAGUAGUC
rnacentral:rRNA from 1 species